rnacentral:rRNA from 1 species
UACGUAGGGGGCAAGCGUUGUUCGGAAUUACUGGGCGUAAAGGGCGCGUAGGCGGCAUGGCAAGUCGGGUGUGAAAUUUCGGAGCUUAACUCCGAAACUGCAUUCGAUACUGGCGUGCUUGAGGACUGGAGAGGAGACUGGAAUUUACGGUGUAGCAGUGAAAUGCGUAGAUAUCGUAAGGAAGACCAGUGGCGAAGGCGGGUCUCUGGACAGUUCCUGACACUGAGACACGAAGGCCAGGGGAGCAAACGGG